AUGAGUGCAGUCAUGUGCCACUUUCUCAUGUCGCUCUGUUCUACCACUGUGCUGUUGCCUGGAGACCAAAUGUUUUGUAGCCAUGUUUUUAUUUUCAGCCUGGGUCAGUCUGGACCUGCAUCAGUGAAAAGUAUUCAGAUUCAUCUGCCAUACCACACUGGGAGGCCCUACUUUUACCCGCAGUACUUAAAACAUGAUACCAAUCUGUGUGCUAGAGUCUCAAUAGCCCUCAGUGUUAUUCUUACUGAAAAGACUCUCCUGCAACAAACUCCAUCUCCUGCAACAAACUCCAUCUCCUGCAUGCUGGAAAUUGAAAUAAAACAAGCUUGCCGGCUAGCUGGUUUAAGAAGUGUACUUCCUGACAGGGAUUGUCUCGAGUCCCACGGAGGAGCUCUGGAAGGAUAAAAGGAGGAGUGACGACAGUGUAAGACGAGAGAGGACCAGGCCUGGACUUUAUGUUGUUUUGUCUGUCGUCUGUGAGGGGCUGUCGUGCUAUAUUCAGUGUUGUGUUUAUUUUUUUAUUAAAGUUUUGUUUAAAUGUUCGCCGGUUACUGCCUUCUUCUUCCCGUAUUUACAAACUUUGUGACAAUAUUCUUUUUUAAAUGGAUCACUUUUAGAAAAAAAUCUAAAAUAAAUAAAUGAAUGAAUAAUAAAUGUUUGCUUCUUCUUUUUUUUUUUUUUUGAGCAUCGUAUCAAAAACAAACUAGCUAAGAUGUUUAAACUCAAUGAUGAUUUAAGCUGUAUUUAAUCAGUGCGACUUAUAACAUCCAAGUGAAAGAUAUACAGUAACACCAACAUAAAAUAACACAAAAAUAAAAAACAGAAUCACUGAGUUGGAAAAAGGAUCGCCCCCUCCUAUAAAUGACUAAACUCAAUCAGGUGUAGCUGUUCACCUUCUCAAUGGCACACGAAGCCAUUUAACUUUCAACUGUGGUCAGCUGUGCUCAUUUUGAUCAGCUCAUCAUGAAAGGCUUUCCUGGAGCAUUUCAGUCUUUGGUAGUUUAACUGAAGCAAACUAAAUCAAAUAUGGGUGGCAAGACACUGUCAAAAGAUCUCCGGGAUAAAGUUGUGGACAGACACAAGUCAGGAGAUGGAUACAAAAAAAGAAAAAAAAAACUGCCUAGAAGCACAGUGAAGUCUAUUAUUAAGAAGUGGAAGAUAUUUGGUACAACAUAGACCCUCCCUGCAUCAGGACAUUGCUCCAAACCGGAUGAAAGAGCAAGGAGGAAACUGGUCAGAGAGGCUACCAACAGGCCCACAGCAACUC
ensembl:lncRNA